GUUAUUCUUUCUUGUUUUCACUUUAUUUGUAUAAAUGUAUUUUCAUUCUUUUAUUUUGAAAAGCAACAUUUAUUUUGAAAAAAAGGAAGUGUGAUCCUCCAGCAAACUUUAUUUUUCCUGUUGCCGGAUCACAAGGGAUAAAUGCCUUUUUCAUUGGUUGAAGGUGGUUUUAGCCCCGUCUUCCAAAACACCAGACCAUCAUUUCACAUGAGCUAGGUCUUUUCGCACGUGGAAGUAGAUGAGACAGGCCACGGAUAGCUCGUGCGGAAUUUUAUAUCAUUUUGGCUAGGUUUUUUCCCCUUGUUGGUGUGGAAGGAACUAAGAUUCUGGAUUACGAUGGAUUCUCUCCGGAUGGAGAUGGCGAGCCUGAGCCCA